GACGAACGCUGGCGGCGUGCUUAACACAUGCAAGUCGAACGGAAAGGCCCUGCAUUUGUGGGGUGCUCGAGUGGCGAACGGGUGAGUAACACGUGAGUAACCUGCCCUUGACUUUGGGAUAACUUCAGGAAACUGGGGCUAAUACCGGAUAGGAGCUCCUGCUGCAUGGUGGGGGUUGGAAAGUUUCGGCGGUUGGGGAUGGACUCGAGGCUUAUCAGCUUGUUGGUGGGGUAGUGGCUUACCAAGGCUUUGACGGGUAGCCGGCCUGAGAGGGUGACCGGCCACAUUGGGACUGAGAUACGGCCCAGACUCCUACGGGAGGCAGCAGUGGGGAAUAUUGCACAAUGGGCGGAAGCCUGAUGCAGCAACGCCGCGUGCGGGAUGACGGCCUUCGGGUUGUAAACCGCUUUCGCCUGUGACGAAGCGUGAGUGACGGUAAUGGGUAAAGAAGCACCGGCUAACUACGUG
rnacentral:rRNA from 1 species